AAGUCGUAACAAGGUUUCCGUAGGUGAACCUGCGGAAGGAUCAUUAUUGAAUACUCUUGAUGGGUUGUAGCUGGCUCUUCGGGGCAUGUGCACGCCUGUCUUGACUUUAUUCAUCCACCUGUGCACCUUUUGUAGUCUUGGAGGUUGAGAGCAGUCGACUAUCGGAUACUUUCCGGAUGUGACGAAUUGCUGAGUGCGAAAGCAUACAGCUCUUCUCAAAUGACUUGCAACACUUCUCCUUCAAGUACUAUGUAUUCAUAUACCACAUAGUAUGUUGUAGAAUGUGAUCAAUGGGCUUAUAUGCCUAUAAUAAUCAUAUACAACUUUCAGCAACGGAUCUCUUGGCUCUC
rnacentral:misc_RNA from 1 species